rnacentral:rRNA from 1 species
AACUAACGCUGGCGGCGUGCCUAACACAUGCAAGUCGUACGAGAAAGUUGGCUUCGGCCGAUGAGUACAGUGGCGCACGGGUGAGUAACGCGUGGAUAAUCUGCCCUUAAGUGUGGAAUAACGUACCGAAAGGUGCGCUAAUACCGCAUAAUGCCUGGCAACAUAAGUUGUCCGGCCAAAGAAGGCCUCUGCUUGCAAGCUUUCGCUAAAGGAUGAGUCCGCGUACCAUUAGCUAGUUGGUGGGGUAACGGCCUACCAAGGCGACGAUGGUUAGCUGGUCUGAGAGGGAGAUCCCCCACACUGGUACUGAGACACGGACCAGACUCCUACGGGAGGCAGCAGUGAGGAAUAUUGGUCAAUGGGCGCAAGCCUGAACCAGCCAUCCCGCGUGCAGGAAGACGGCCCUAUGGGUUGUAAACUGCUUUUCCAGGGAGAGAAACUUACGCACGUGUUGCGUGACUGACGGUACCCUGGGAAUAAGCAUCGGCUAACUCCGUGCC